UCAUUCCAGCACUUCCCGAUCAUCAUCUCCGCCAGCUUUUACGCAUAUUAGUGCCCCCCUACAAUCAACAUCCACAGCAACGCAUUCUCGUCCUCACUCACAACCAGGAUCAACAAAACCUGCGAUUCCUGCUAAACCCAAAGUUCGGUUAAAGUCCAGAUGGGCACUCGUCCGGGUUAGUACCGAACUUGACCCACAGGGGGCGCUGUGGUGCAACUUUUCAUCUGAGAUUGCUCGACUAUUUUUCAUGCAGCUGAGCGGCUGUAAGAUCGUUGCUGCCACAAAUUGUAAAUAAGUGUUUGUUUCACACAUCUUCAUACUGCUGCUCCUCUUGACACACAUGGCUACUGCAUCGCGUCACCCACCGCCGUCGUGGGGAAUGGAUAAUUUUCACGCAAACUGGCGGUAUGGUGUAUAAUGGAACGGGCAAAGAUGACGCUACCUGCAUCCUGCUUGGCGCGAUGGCCAAUAACGAUAUUGAUGAUGUUCGGCGCCGGUACCGUCAUGCGUAACGAGUUCUGUUCCACGCGCCGUACAUCAUCAACCAGUACGAGAAUCCGAUGCCGAUUUCGGUGCAAUCCUGGAUCCGCAUCGACGGAUCGGGUAACAUCGACACCGCUGGACGCAGAGCGAUGACUAACCCGCAAUCCCGUACCGGAAACUGGAACCUGCAGGCCGUCGUAGGCAGUGCUGGUACUGGUUUUCGCACUUCGACUGUCCGUUUGUUGGCGUUCACAACGACCUGAAUCAUCGUGCUCAAUCAACUGUGGCCUGAAGAAGCCAACGACGUCAAUGCGGCCCCAAGUCCAUCGCUUUACGCAUGUACACCCCCUCCCCCCCUCCCCGGUGCUGGAGGAAAAAAUCGCAAAGUGCGGGAAAAGGUUACUACGGCCGUACUAUCGGAUGAAAGUCGUGCCGAACACCGCGAAGGCGACAAGAAGGAAGCGAAGGAAGGUGCCAAGACGGCCUCAAAGGGUAAAACGCAGCGUUCGGUAGCAAGCAUAACACGGCCAAGGUGGAGGUGCAAGCUUUAUACAUCGCAACACCGGUCAAGAAGGAAUUGAAGACGGAUAAUUCGACUAACUCUGGAACGGCUUUUCGCGCACCAGCUAUUGCUACCGAGAACGACCGGCAACAGAUAAGGUAGCAGGCAGGACAGUGAACAAAACGUCCAGAGAACCGGAAGUGCUGUAACGUUAGAGUGUGUGAAACAUGAUGCUUAAAACCUGUACCUUGAACCCAUUGAUGCGGCGUGCUUUUCUUGCGUUUGAUUUGUGAUUGUACAAUACAAUUUGUACUACAAUGUUUCAAUUCGUUUUAAAUAUUAAAAACAAGCUGUGUGCUCUCUCUGAAUGUCUCAUUAAUAA